GUGAGUAACCUGCCCUUGACUUCGGGAUAAGCCUGGGAAACCGGGUCUAAUACCGGAUACGACCUCCUGGCGCAUGCCAUGGGGGUGGAAAGCUUUAUUGCGGUUUUGGAUGGACUCGCGGCCUAUCAGCUUGUUGGUUGGGGUAAUGGCCCACCAAGGCGACGACGGGUAGCCGGCCUGAGAGGGUGACCGGCCACACUGGGACUGAGACACGGCCCAGACUCCUACGGGAGGCAGCAGUGGGGAAUAUUGCACAAUGGGCGAAAGCCUGAUGCAGCGACGCCGCGUGAGGGAUGACGGCCUUCGGGUUGUAAACCUCUUUCAGCAGGGAAGAAGCGAAAGUGACGGUACCUGCAGAAGAAGCGCCGGCUAACUACGUGCCAGCAGCCGCGGUAAUACGUAGGGCGCAAGCGUUAUCCGGAAUUAUUGGGCGUAAAGAGCUCGUAGGCGGUUUGUCGCGUCUGCUG
rnacentral:rRNA from 1 species